ensembl:processed_transcript
AGACCCAGGGACUGGAGAAGGGAGAUGGGGAAAGACACAGUUUCUGGUGUUCCUGUAGCUUUGGGCCUCUGCCAAGCAACAGACGCCCCUAUGCCUUUCCAGCGCCAGCCACCGAGAGCCUCUGGCUCCUGCUCUGCACACCCCUCCCCACUCCAACCCAGCCCUCACUGGCUCCUUGCAAACUUGAAGGGUUUCCCUAUGUAGCCCUGGCUGUCCUUGUAGACCAAGCUGGCCUGGAAUUCACAAGGGUCCCCCCCCCCCCCCCGCCUGUGCCUCUUUAUUGCUGGAAUCAAAGGCAUGUACCACCACC